rnacentral:rRNA from 1 species
GGACUCGGCAGACCGCUCAGUAACACGCGGAUAAUAUGCCCUUAGGUGGAGGAUAACCUCGGGAAACUGAGAAUAAUACUCCAUAGAUCUAGGAUGCUGGAAUGCUUCUAGGUCGAAAACUCCGGUGCCUAAGGAUUAGUCUGCGGCGUAUCAGGUAGUAGUGGGUGUAACGGACCCACUAGCCUAUGACGCGUAAGGGCCUUGAGAGAGGGAGCCCUGAGAUGGACUCUGAGACAUGAGUCCAGGCCCUACGGGGCGCAGCAGUCGCGAAAACUUCACAAUGGGGGAAACCCCGAUGAGGGAAUUCCAAGUGUCAGCACAUUGUGUUGACUGUUCCCGUGUCUAAAAAACACGAGAAGUAAGGGCCGGGUAAGACGGGUGCCAGCCGCCGCGGUAAUACCCGCGGCCCGAGUGGUGGUCGAUAUUAUUGAGCCUAAAACGUUCGUAGCCGGUCUUGUAAAUCCUUGGGUAAAUCGGCCAGCUUAACUGUCCGAAGU